ACUCGCACACUGACGGUCAACUUUGGUGUCCUCUUCGUGGCUCCACAUUUAGCUGGUUGCUCUUUCGAAUGUCGUCGCUGAUUCCUGUGCCCGUCCCAGCUCUUCUUCACGCCCCUUCGUUGCUGCAGUGAGGUUCUCCUUUUUCUUCUUCUUCCUUGUUCUUCUUCCUUUUUUUUCUUUUUCAACUCCGAUAUAUGUUUAUGAAUCCUCAGCGUCUCUUCUGUUCGUCAGCGUGGUAUAAUGGUGUUUAGCAUCAGAACAAAGCAUUAAUGCCCAGCAUAGAAUGACAUUAUUUAAACUUGGAAACCCCUUAUUUCAGUGUGCCUAAUACAACUUGUUUCUGUGUGAGUUCCUAGGUUUGUUUGAACCUGUGAAGAUCCAGCCCAGAGUGAGAAAGCAGCCUCUGCUCCACCGCGCUAGGGCCGUGUUCUCCACCAGCCCUUCAUCUGGAGAAGUGUCGCUAGAAUAGCACGGCAGCCCCUCUCCUACGGGGCAGCCUCUGCUCCACCGAAAUCUGGGCUGAGCCUCCACCGCCAGAGACAUUCCCUGGCAUUGUGCUGGGAAGAGAACAUUGCCCAUCGAAGAUGGAGAAACUGAAGCUUAGCAAGAUUGCCAAAGGCCACGGUUAAUAAGAGCCUUUACACAGGAAGACCCUCUAAAGAGCUGCCUGCCAGCUGCCCUUCCCCAGAUCCCAGAUAUAUUCCCAGCCAGGUAGAGCAGAGAACAGUCACUCAGCUGGUGAUGCUGAGCUCAUACCCGGAUGGCUGUCCCCGGAGGUCAAGACUGGGUCUGCUCCCUUCUCCCACUUUACCAAUGCCUGAUCUCACAGGAUUAGUUCUGAGCCCAACUCCAUGGCGUCAUCGACCUCCCUCCCAGCUCCUCGCUCCCGGUCCAAGAAGCCUCUGGGUA